UUUCUGAGGAAAGCCUGAAUUUCUAUGAAUUUCCCUCUGAGAACUGCUUUUGCGGCAUCCCAUAGAUUUUGAGUGGUUGUGUCUUCAUUAGCAUUUGUCUUGAGGUUUUUUUUUUUUUAAUUUCCUUCUUGAUUUCCUCAUUGACCCAUCCAUUUUUUUAGUACCAUGUUAUUUAGUCUCCAUGUAGUAAGUUUUUUCUCAUCUUUUUUCUGUAGUUGAUUUCUAGUUUUAUGCCAUUGGGGUCAGAGAAGAUUCUCGAAAUAAUUUCUAUACUUUUAAAUUUGUUUAGGUUUGCUUUAUGCCCCAAUAUGUGAUUGAUCCUUAAGAAUGUUCCAUGUGCACUUGAGAAGAAUGUAUAUUCUAAUGUCCUGAAAAUGUCAAUUUAGUCUAAUUUUUCUGGUGAAUCAUUUAGGAUUUCUGUUGCCUUACUGAUUUUCUGUCUAGAGGAUCUGUCCAUUGAUGUGAGUGGGCUAUUAAAGUCUCCUACUAUGACUGUAUUCCCAUCAAUUUCUCUGUUAAUGUCUGUUAGUAUUUGUUGGAGGUAUCUGGGUGCUCCUAUAAUAGGGGUAUAUAUAUUGACGAUUGUAAUAUCCUCUUCUUGAAUGGAUCCUUUAACCAUUAAAUAGUGUCCUUCUUUGUUUUUCUUUAUAGCCUUCGUUUUAAAGUCUACUUUGUCUGAUAUGUGAUUACAACUCCUGCUUUUCUGUCUUGUCCAUUGGCAUGAAAUAUCUUUUCCCAUCCCCUCACUUUCAAUCUAUAUGUGUCCUUUGCCCUAAGGUGAGUCUCUUGUAGACAGCAUAUUGAAGGUUUUUGUUUUUUUAUCCACUCUGCCACUCUGUGUCUUUUGACUGGAACAUUCAGUCCAUUGACAUUUGAAGUAAUUAUUGAUAGAUAUUUAUUGCCAUUUUAAACCUUGUUUCUCCUUGAUUCUAUGUUUCUCCUUCCUUCCUUCNUUUUUUUUUUUUUUUUUUUUUUUUUUUUUUGAAUAAAUUAAGUCAUCCUAAAAUAAAAUUAUGCAUUUAAUUAUAAGACUUAACAGUUUGAGUCACUUUGGACCUUUAGUAAUACAGGUAUUAUUACAUUUUUAGGAAUCUGAAUAUUGUACCACUUCAUUUAUUAGUGGGAUGUAUAUAUGUGUAUGUGUUGAGAUAAGUAUGUAUGAGGAGUAAAAAAAAAUUAUAAUUUUGUCAACGAAAACUUUUUAAAAUAUGUGACUAACCUGCUUCCUAAGUAAACAAAGUAGUCUGAACAUACUUUAACAUUUUCCAUAAAGAUUAAAACCAUCCUUGUGUAUAUCAUCAUAAUAUUCCACAAAAUCAUCGUUAUUAAAUUCUGCAUCAUCUGUCCUACAGGUUAAAUGUGAUUGCAAAUUCUUUUUCAGUCCCUCCAUUGGCAAGUACAGUCUAAUUCUUCUUCCUGGAUACUUGCUUCUCCAGCCAAAUGCGACAGCGUGACAUGGUAUGUGAGAGGCCCCACAGCUUCUUGGGGGCCCUUGAAACAGGGGCCCUGAGGCAAGUCAGCCACCAUGGAGGAAGUAUGAGUAUCCAGAGACCAUCCUUUCCUGAGAAACCCACGCCACAUGGGUGAGAUGCCAGAUGGAGAGACAGGAAUGUCAAAGAGCAUCCAGUCCACCUGCCCUGUCAGUGAUAAGCCCUUCCUCGGGGAAUGUAUCUCCCUGUCCGAUCUGGCAUUCACCACAUGAAUCAGGGGUGAAUGGCUCACCUGAGCCUUUCUUAAUUUUCUGAUUCCCCAAAUUACAAGCAAAUUAAAAUUGUUGUUGUUGGUUUUAAUUCUUUUUUAAUUUUUUAAUUUUAUGGCUGUACCUGAGGGAUACGGAAGCUCCUGGCCAGGGACUGAAUCCAAGCCACAGUUGUGACCUACGCCACAGCUGUGGCAAUGCAGGAUCCUUUAACCCACUGCACAGGGCCAGGGAUCAAACCCACACCUCUGUAGUAACCCGAGCUGCUACAGUCGGGAUUCUUAACCCAUUGCACUGCAGCAGAACUCCAAAUUUGUUGCUUUAAGACGUUAAGUUAGGGGGACUUUGGUAUACCACAGUUUACAACCAGUACACCAUAAAUAAAUUCAAUGUGACUAGGAUGAAUUGAGUUUAAUUAACUAGGGAUCAGUGAACCCUAAUCUGGAAGAUAUGGUAUUUCCAUUCCUUACCCAAUGAAAGAGAACUGAGGUUGGCAUUUACAGUCUUGGGGGGAGGGGGAAGGGAGGUAAGAACUUUUUUUUUUUUUUGUCUUUUGUCUUUUUAGGGCUGUACCCAUGGCACAUAGAGGUUCCCAGGCUAGGAGUCGAAUCAGAGGUACAGCUGCCAGCCUACGCCACAGCCACAGCAACACAGGAUGCUAGCCAUGUCUGUAACCUAAACCACAGCUCACAGCAACGCCGUAACCUUAACCCACUAAGCGAGGCCAGG
rnacentral:lncRNA from 1 species